GGGGGCGGCUCCACUGGCACUCCCCUCCUUCCAGUCUCCUGCCAGUGGGAAGUUGGAGGGCAAGGGUGUUGAUGCCAUGCACAAGGUCUGUUUCCAGGGUCACAGAGCAGAGUCGGGAAGAUCAGAGUGGGCCUCUGAAGACCCAGAGGGAAAGAGACACUGCAUCAUGGGCUUCCUGAAUACUAUGACCAACAUCUUGGCCAUGGCUCUAUAAGAUGGAGAGAGAGAAUUCCUGUGACUGGUAGGCUCCUACGUUCUGUGCCAAGGACAUUUCUGAAGUUGAAGAACAAUCUCUAUUUAUGUGCAGCAUGGAGAAACGGGAGCUUGUUUUGCAUUGUGUUGGGAGGCAGAGAGGAGUCAGGUAGCAAGCUGGCAACAUUCCUGAUUUUUCAUGGAGUGUAGAGCUCUCUGGGCAUGGGUCGGGGAGGAACAGAAUCAUCCAUCUACCGGAUUAGCGGCUGAAUGGGGAUGAAGCCGAGUCAUUACACACUGCUGCCAUCAACCUUUAGCAAGAUGGAGGGAAGAAGGUCCCAGGAAGGCAAAAAUACCUAAUGGCCAGGAAAAUCAUCUGUCCCUAUUUCUCUCAUCAUCCUACUCUUAUUAUUCUGGGUAGAAAAUGUGCUUCAAAACUCGUUUAAGCCGCUAUUAUAAGAUGGAUAUAGUGCUAUGCAGAUUGAAAUCUAAAGAAGAGGAAGAGAGGCUCUUUGAACUCAGGGGGGAAAUCAAGAAACAUGGAAGAAAAAGAGUAAAGAGAUGGAAUAAUCAGAGAGAAGUACUGUUUCCUAAAAAAACUGAUGAUGUGGGAUUUUCCUAACACAUGAUCCCAGCGUGCUGAACUCUGCGUGUCUGCAGGAAAGUGACACAGCACUGUGGCACCAGAUCCAGUUCUGAAGGCAGGAGCCUGAAGCUAAAAAAAAAAAAAUUUAAAUAUUCAGUUGAUAAGACAUAAAGCAGUAAAGGUAUGACUUUUCCUCUUGAUACAUUUGUAUCAUGUCAGAGUUAAUCUUGAUUUUGCCAAGACUCCUAAUAUAUAAGCUCAAAAGAGAAACAGUAACAUGUAAAAUGUAAAUCAUCAGUGAGUAUUCAGAUAAAAUUUCAACCACUUGGGCAAACAAGAAAAUAGAAAGAAAUGAUCAGAACACUUCUAUAAGCGUUCUGUCAACUCCAGGGUGGAGUGCUAGCUAUAGCUUAUCUCUAGGGGAUGGAAUUAUAAGUUAUUUUAUCUUUGUUUUGCUUACCUCUCUAUUUUCUUCUGUU
ensembl:lncRNA